rnacentral:tRNA from 1 species
GAGUGUGUAGCUCGGUGGUAGGGCACUUGCCUAGGAUGUGCGAGUCCCUGGGUUCAAUCCCCAGCACAAUAA